CAGAGCAAGAAGAUACUGCAAAAUAUACACCGUGCCGUGCUGCGCUCCGCUGAGGCUGACAAGUUGCAUUACCAGUGAAAUAAAAAUUUUCUUGUGCAGUUUUUGGAAAUUACGAUUUAAAAAAGAAACAACAACUAAAAAGUGCAAUUUAUUGAGCAAAAAUUGUGUGAAAAGCAAAAUCGAAAGCAUUGUUUAUAUGCAUUCUUACAUAUAGUAUAUUAUGUAUGUAUUUUCAGCAGAUUUUGCCAAUUGUAUGUCAAAUAAAUUCUAUUGAAUAAUUACAACGCGCAGGCAUUCCAAAAUAAAGUGAAAAAUUUGUGUGAAAAAGUGCAAGAGGUUUUCAAAGAAAGUAGAAGUUAUAAAAUUAUACAUACACACACAAAAUACCGACAGGCACAAAAGUCCUUUUCUAAGUGCAAUCACACACACAUACAUACAUAGCAACUUUCAAUAUGGCGGAUGUCAUGGAGAAAAGCUCUGUGCUGGAAGCUGCGACUACGUUAAACGACUCGCUCCCACACCAGCAACUACAACAACAACAACACCCACACCCACCGCCGCAACAGCAGCAGGAGCAGAAACUGCAACAGCAACUACAACAGGAUCAGCCUCAACAAAACCACCAACAACAGCAGCUCCAGCUGCAGCAGCAACAACUACAAAAGGCAGAGCCAGCAAAGCCAACGGUAGCGCCACUUGCGACAACAACAACAACACCAUCAACAACAACAACAACAACACGCGCUGGAUCCGAGCAGAAAGAAGGCGACAAUGACAGCGGCGUCGAUGAGUCCACACAGGAGAAGGAUCGCAACGGACCGAUCUCGCCCAGUUCGCCGGUGAAGACGCCAACAUCCACCUCCUCGAAGCCAGACAAGUCGGGCGCCUCACGCCCACCGAGCGCCACGCCCUCGAACAAAUCGGCCAAGUCGCGCAGCGCCUCAAAGAAUCGUUUGCUGCUCAAGACUCCCGAGCCGGAGCCGGUCAAGAAAGUUCCAAUGAAUAAGGUGCAGGUAGGACAUGCGCCUUCGCCCAAUCUGAAGGCGGUGCGUUCCAAAAUCGGCUCUCUGGACAAUGCCACCUAUAAGCCCGGUGGUGGUCAUGUCAAAAUCGAGACAAAGAAAAUUGACAUCAAGGCCGCACCGCGCAUCGAGGCUAAGAAUGACAAGUACAUGCCUAAGGGCGGCGAAAAGAAGAUAGUUACAACAAAGUUGCAGUGGAAUGCCAAGUCGAAAAUCGGCUCAUUGGAAAAUGCCGCCCAUAAGCCUGGCGGCGGCGACAAAAAGAUCGAAACGCUGAAAAUUGAUUUCAAGGAUAAGGUCAAAUCGAAGGUUGGCUCCAAGGACAAUGUUAAACAUCAGCCCGGCGGCGGUGAUAUCAAGGAUAACAAUUCGAAGGAUAUACAAUCGCAAAAAAUAGAAAUUAAGGCACAAAGCAAAGUUGGCUCUUUGGAUAAUGUUAAGCACAAGCCCGGUGGCGGUGAAAAGAAGAUUUUCGAUGAUAAGGAAUAUUUGAAAAAUGUUGAACACUCUGUUGCACUGACAACACCACCAACACAGUGUGCGGCCCAAGGGCGCUUGAUCGCAACGAUUCAUCUAGAAUUUGGUCUUUGUAACUCAGACUGUGAAUAUUUAUAUACAUUUUAUUAGGCUAAUCAUACAAACUAAGUGCAUUACAUAAAUUCAAAAUCCGUAUACAUGUUACGUCCAUUAGAGUUAUUUAUUGUCUUCUACAACUACAACUAUAAUAACUACACAUGAAACGAUGCGAUUUUAAUGAAAAGCAAGCUAAAGAAAAAUUAACUUUGCAAAUGAAAACUUAGUCCACAACCAUCCAUGACGGCUUCAACAAGCGGCGCUGAUGAAAAUUUAAAUCAACAAAGCUAAACGCCUAAAAUUGCAUGUUGAGCUGAAGUUUAUAACAACAACAACAACAGCAACAAGAAAUUUACACAAAUUUGAUAAAACAAAACACUAAUUUUUGAAUUUUUGUAUUAUUAAGCAAAGUUACACAAAUUUAAAAAGUAUGCAACAAUAAAUUUCCCACACAAUACAAACCGAAACAACAACAGCAAUACCAAUAUGAUGUAUAAUCAACAUACAUAUAUAGUAUGUACUCGUACACCCAAACAGAAUCAAAAAUACACACGAAUUUCACAAACAUACAUACAUACAUCAAAACAUAGAAUUGAAAUUAUACAUAUAUGACUAGUUGAGCAAUGCACUUAUUUAUUAUACAAAAUCAGACAUACUAUAUAUGGGAAAAGAGAGUACAGUAUAUCUCUAUCUCUCUAUAUAUAUAUAUUAAAAUUUUCAUAAAUAUAUAUAUAUGCAUACAUACUAUAUGUAACCAUUACGAUUGUGUAUGUGAAAGCAGCAAGAAAGUAUCUAAAUAUUUAAGCAAAAUAUACAACAAAAAAUUAUAAAGGAUUAUUGCAUAUUUAUAUGUGUGCUUAGUUGAAAAUGUUGAACAAACGUAACCUAAACCUAAUGGCUAGAUGUUGAAACAUUUAUUAAAACAAACAUACCUACAUACAUACAAGGACAGAGGAGCGAUUAUAACAUUUAGAUACUUUUCAGCGUACACUCACAGAUUGGGCCAGAUUGGUAUACGUAUAGUACGAGUAUAGGCCAGGAAUCGAAAAGGAAGACAUACUUUUUAAUUUAUACCAUUUCUUUAGUAAAUCGCAUCUAUCUCACAAUUUAUUUACACCCUGUUACAACAUGUAAGAACAAAGCAUAAUAAAACAAAAAAAAAAAACGUUUUCUCAUUUAUCAAA